AACGAACGCUGGCGGCAUGCCUAACACAUGCAAGUCGAACGAGACCUUCGGGUCUAGUGGCGCACGGGUGCGUAACGCGUGGGAACCUGCCCUUAGGUUCGGAAUAACUCCCCGAAAGGGGUGCUAAUACCGGAUAAUGUCUUCGGACCAAAGAUUUAUCGCCUUUGGAUGGGCCCGCGUUGGAUUAGCUAGUUGGUAGGGUAAAAGCCUACCAAGGCGACGAUCCAUAGCUGGUCUGAGAGGAUGAUCAGCCACACUGGGACGGAGACACGGCCCAGACUCCUGCGGGAGGCGGCAGUGGGAAUAUUGGACAAUGGGCGAAAGCCUGAUCCAGCAAUGCCGCGUGAGUGAUGAAGGCCUUAGGGUUGUAAAGCUCUUUUACCCGGGAUGAUAAUGACAGUACCGGGAGAAUAAGCUCCGGCUAACUCCGUG
rnacentral:rRNA from 1 species